rnacentral:misc_RNA from 1 species
UACUCUCACACUCUCUGAUCCUCCUUUGGAUUCGGGGAGCGGUGGACUUGGGUGUUUGCUGCUUUCAGUGGCUCACUUCAAAUGCGUCAGUGCACCUCUUGGUUGGACAUAGUACGGCGUGAUAAGUGUCUUCGCCGGCACCUUGCAAAAGGGUGGCUGAUCGAGAGCUCUGUGCUUUCAAACCGUCUCCGGACAAUAUCUGACA